CUCGAUAUUAAAUCGAGAAAAAUAUGAUUUUUAUAGUUUUCAAAUGGUUUCGAAUGAAUGAUGAAAUUAAAGAAAUCAAAUUUGCAUUAUCAAACAAUAAUAAAAAACUAUGAGUAAUAAAGCAUAAACAUAAAAGAAAAUGUUAAAAGAAAUAAAAAUGCUACACAUAGGGGUAUCGAACCCACUACACUAAAGUCCUAGAAACCACUCCUCUCCACCAGGCCACUUACCAACUAGUUGUUAUUUUAAUACUAACUUAAAUAUAUAAACCAAGAUAAAUAAAAAAAGAAUUAAAAAUAAAAAAAACUAAGAAAAAGGAAACUGUUGGACUAACCUAAUUAAACCCAGCCGCUUGGCUGUUGGGUUUUAGAGUUAAUGGAUUGGGGAAUAACAAAUACAUUAAUACCCUAUUAAAUAAAAGAAAUGGAAGACUUAA
rnacentral:lncRNA from 1 species